rnacentral:rRNA from 1 species
GACUGCAGGCUGCAACUCGCCUGCACGAAGUCGGAAUUGCUAGUAAUCGUAGGUCAGCAUACUACGGUGAAUACGUUCCCGGGCCUUGUACACACCGCCCGUCAAACCAUGAGAGUUGGCAACACCCGAAGUCGGUAGUCUAACCGCAAGGAGGACGCCGCCGAAGGUGGGGUUGACGAUUAGGGUUAAGUCGUAACAAGGUAAC